GACGAACGCUGGCGGCGUGCUUAACACAUGCAAGUCGAACGGAAAGGCCCUGCUUGCAGGGUACUCGAGUGGCGAACGGGUGAGUAACACGCGGGUGAUUUGCCCUCCACUUCGGGUUAAGCCUGGGAAACUGGGUCUAAUACCGGAUAGGAGCUAUUUUUAGUGUGAUGGUUGGAAAGUUUUUUCGGUGUAGGAUGAGCUGGCUGCCUAUCGGCUUGUUGGUGGGGUAAUGGCCUACCAAGGCGGCGACGGGUAGCCGGACUGAGAGGGUGGCCGGCGACAUUGGGACUGAGGGACGGCACAGACUGCUACGGGAGGGAGCAGUGGGGAAUAUUGAACAAUGGGCGCAAGCCUGAUGCAGCGACGCCGCGUGGGGGAUGACGGCGUUCGGGUUGAAAAAUACUUUCGCAAGGGACGAAGCUUUUUGUGACGGUACCUAGAUAAGAAGCACCGGCUAACUACGUG
rnacentral:rRNA from 1 species